UGUAUUUUAGGUUAUUUUAAAGGCUAUUGUUUGAUUAGGCCUAUUUGUCCAACCAUAAAUAUAAAUAAUAACUGGAAGUCACUGAAAAGGAAAAGGUUUAAAAGUUGCAGUGGGAAAGACAGGUGUAAGGGCUUGUGUUGCAAGUGGAGGCAGCCUUAUGCUUGCUUCAGCUGUAGACUGCAGGAAAUGGCACUGGUUUGUGAAAUUUGACAGGAAAUGAUGAAAUGUCCUGCAGUAGCUUGCAUUGUUGCCAAUUUAGCAAUUUGUGGUUAGAUUUAGCAAUUUCUCAGACUACCUAAGCAACUUGCUUUCCAAAGCACAUAGCAUCAAAUUUACCUAUUUAUAAAAACAUUUUUGCCAAGUUUUAGCAUCUUUUUAAAAAGUGAUAAAAUGUUAAAAGAACGUGCAUUUUCCUCUUAACCACACAAAGACGAAAGUGUUGAAAAGCAAGCCAAGUAACACAUUGGCUAGAGACUUGGAGCUCCUCAAUUUGACUAGAGACCGGUGAGUGGCGCAGGUGUUGCUCACUUCCAAUUAUUCCACCGGCCUCCACCCAUUCCCAUGGCUCUCGGCCCUGCCCCACUCGUCACAGCGACGGUACCGAAAAAUUUAUUAGCAAAACGACCUUGUGCUAGUGUCUGCUACAACAGCUGGAGGCCCUGCUGCAUUCAACGCUGCUGCUGGAAGAGCUGCGGUGCAAGAUUGAGCCGAAUGGGAAGUGAGUAAGACACAGGCUCAUUGAAGGCCUGCUGCUGUGACCCAGUGUUUAGGGAGAGCCGGGUCUGGUGUGGGGCGAUAGUGGUGUCAACAGAUGACCGGACCAGCACCGACAGGCACAAGCAUGAGCCUCACGGACCCCUUUCAAGACCUGGUAGAUGCACUCUGUCAUACACUCAUGUCAGCCCAAGCAUCUCCACCACCAGCGAGCACUUCCGCCGAUCCUGUCAUCACUCUUUCACCUGCCGUGCACGCCAGUCCCAUGGCCAGGCCGGCGCCCUACUCUGGCUCGGCGGAGGAAAUGCAGCGGUUUCCUGCUUCAGUGUUCACUGGUCCUGGAGAUGCAACCGCUCUCGUAUCCAACGGACCGCUCUAAGGUAGCCUUUAUCAUUUCCCAAUUGCAAGGCAAAGCACUACUGUGGUCAAAUUCAUUCUGGACUCAAAAUUACCCAGUUAUCCAGUCUUGUUCUAGCUUCAUCGACCAUUUCCAAGAAGUUUUCGGCAGACCUGCCUGGGAUUCUUCGAUAGGUGAGAAGCUGUACAAUUUAAAACAAGUAGAAAAUCUCUGUCAAUGAAUAUGCCUUGCAGUUCAGAACUCUGGCGGCCUCCAGUGGAUGGAACGAACAGGCUUUGCUAACGACCUACCAUCAAAGACUGGAACCCCGAGUGCGGUUGCAUCUCGCUGCAUACGAGGAUACCAUCGGCCUCGAGCGAUUCAUCCAGCUGUCCAUCCGCUUCGCCACUCGUAUGCAGUCGUGCUUAGAAGAGCACCAGGGCCAGGCGCAUUCCUCCACACCACUCUGCCGACCAGAGAACGUCAGCUCCCCAGAACAAGCCAACGAACCCAUGAUGGUUGACUCCUACCGCCUCACUAUGGCGGAGCGUCAAAGACAGCUGGCCCAGAAUCUAUGUCUAUACUGUGCAGCUCCGGGGCAUGCCAUAGCUGUGUGCCCCGUCCGCCCUCCUCGUCCCAUGGUGAGUGCCAUUCUCACUAGUCGCUAGGGCAACGGCCGAGUGGUAGAAGGGCUGCCCAGGUUGGUCCGCAAGUCGCAAGAUCCAACGGGGGUACCAAUUAAAACUUCGCCAGACGCAAGAGUUAAAACUGAGUGUGGGCAACCCGGGUCAGCCCACCAGACGCAAGGCUAACCAAGAGGGCUUCAUCUCCACACCACGCCAAACAUGUAAAUAUAAAGUAUGUACAUAGCAUACAAGACAGGCCCCGCAAGUCGCUAGGGCCAUGCCAGAAUGGCAGAAGGGAUGUCCAGGUUGGUCCGCAAGUCGCAAGAUCCAACGAGGACCCUGUUAAAACUCAGCCAAACGCAAGAGUUAAAACUGAGUCUGGGCAACCCGGGUCAGCCCGCAAUGCUAACCAAGAGGGCCUCACCUCCGCAACACACAAAGCACACACUGGCUACCACCUUCAGGCAAACUGCUAUGCAUCACAAUUAAUUAACAAAAGGCAGCCUCAUCAUCUUCACUAUCCUCUUCUGUUCUGUCUUUUCUCCAUUCUGUCACCGAUGGAGUUUCGGUUCCUUGCCGCUGUCGCCUCUGGCUUGCUUAGUUGGGGUCACUUCAUCUACAGCGAUAUCAUUGACUUGAUUGCAAAUUGUGUUUUUAGCACCCCUUUGUUUUAUUUUACAACACAUAUUAAUCCACAUGACCAUCACAAUAAUCCACAAGUAAUCCACAUGACUCCAGUCCAUCAAUUAACGUCAUGUGAAGCAAAAAGCUGUGUGUUUGUAAUAAAAGAAUCCAUCAUUAACUUUAAACUAUUUGUUUCCUCCUCAAACAAUUCAGCUGUGAUAAGAGCUUCUGCUUGUUCUACAGUGUCUGCGUUCACUUUGCCCCAUUAUUUUUCUCUGCCCAGGAAGAGGCCACCUCGAAGGCCCGAGGUGAAUACAGACUAAAACAAAAAAAUUUAACUUAUAAGAGUGUAAGGGAAGAUGAAAGAGUGCUUAAAUUCAAAAAAUGCACUUUAAAGAUGCUUGAUAUAUUCAAAGAAAAGGCUCUGAAAAUUUAAAAAAUUACAAAAUAAACAGAGGGGAGGAGCUUUUAAUUCUAAAAAAUUAAAUUGAGCUCAGAGAAGAAAACAUUUAUUUUACACAAGUCAUGCCUGAAGAAGACACAGAAAGCUGUCGAAACGUCGCGAUAAAAGGCUUGUGUACUUGUAUAUAGUUUAAAAUCUCAUAUUUUAGGCAAAAACAAAUAGUUUAAAGUUAAUGAUGGAUUCUUUUAUUACAAACACACAGCUUUUAUUCAAAGAAAAGGCUCUGAAAAAUUUAAAAAUUCAAAAAUAAACAAAUUGGCCUCGGCCUUCGAGGUGGCCUCUUCCUGGGCAGAGAAAAAUUAUGGGGGCAAAGUGAACGCAGUGAACCCUCCCCGGGCAUGGCAGCAUAAAUAAACAGAGGGGAGGAGCCUAGGCCCUAAAUGCCUAGGAGACUAAAUGGUGUUUAGAAAUAAAAUUUACAAAUUAAAUUGAGCUCAGUGAAGAAAAUAUGUAUUUUACACAAGUCAUGCCUGAAGAAGACACAGAAGGUUGUCGAAACGUCGCGAUAAAAGGCUUGUGUACUUGUAUAUAGUUUAAAAUCUUCACAGACCCAAAAAUUAAAAAAAAUUAAAUUGAGCUCAGGGAAGAAAACAUCUCCAUCUGAAAAAAAUAAAAAAAGAUACAACUCAGACACACACACACACACAAAGACACACAUAUAUAUGCACAAACAUUUUGUUGCAGAUAUAGGUAUUUGAAAUAAGUGAUAGGUGACAAUAAACUUAUUGCAAGUCUUCUCUUUUUUAGAGUUUAGAUGUCAUUUUCAGGUUAAACUGUAAUCAUAAUGUGGCAAAAUUGUAAAAACUGAUACAUCUGUAUGAUCAAAAUGGAAAACAUCAAAUCAAUGAGAUUUAAAAUGUUAUAACAGUUAAUUUAUUAAUGUUUUGCCAUGAAUUCAUAAAAACUGUACUAGAUGAAUGAGCCCAUUAGUGGUCUUCCGCUGCCAUCUAGUGGUUAUAAAUUGCAUUUACUCAAACAACACUGUGUUUUUAAACAUAACUGUUAAAGUGUUGUUGUUAUUUUUUUUUUUUGCCCUAUCACUCUUAAAUUUUGCAUGCUUGUUUAGAAUGAAAUUAUGCAUUACUUUACACAGUUUUGAUAAUUUGUGGGAUUUCUAUUUGUAUUAAUAGGCCUUUGUGCCUCUGGGGUGGUCUCGGCCAACCAGGAUGUAUGGAUGAAUUUUAAAUUUUUAGUUUUUAAGAGUUUAGAUGUCAUUCAGGUUUCACUGUAAUCACAAUGUGGCAAAAUUGUAAAAAAUGAUGUGUAUGUAUGAACAAAAUGGAAAACAUUGAUUCAAUGAGAUGUAAAAUGUUAUAACACUUCUGCAAACAGAGGCUCAGAAACUCCAGGCUGGCGAAAAGAGGUCAACAAACCAUCAGCUGA